UACGUAGGGCGCAAGCGUUAUCCGGAAUUAUUGGGCGUAAAGAGCUCGUAGGCGGUCUGUCGCGUCUGCUGUGAAAACUCAGGGCUUAACCCUGAGCUUGCAGUGGGUACGGGCAGACUAGAGUGCGGUAGGGGAGACUGGAAUUCCUGGUGUAGCGGUGAAAUGCGCAGAUAUCAGGAGGAACACCGGUGGCGGAAGGCGGGUCUCUGGGCCGUAAACUGACGCUGGAGGAG
rnacentral:rRNA from 1 species